UCCAACAACGGCUCGAGGCAGUCCACCUUCGGCAAGAGCAGAGCCGGGCUGCUGAAGAUGGCGUAGGAGCUCGCCAUGCUCUGCGAGGCGGACCUUGGCAUCCUCAUUUUCGACAACGUCGGCAAGCAGAUGGACUACUGCAGCCCCUCCACCAUGUCCAAUAGUUCUCCUUUGUUGAUCUUCUCCACCCUAUCGCAUGGCACGUGCGUACAUCUCGAUUCAUCCCAGUUGCAAACUUAUUUUGGAUAUUCUGUAAUGCCCUGUCUAGCUAGGUGCCCCUCUGCGGCUCUGACGUCUAUACUUUUAGAUUGGUCUGUUUUUAGUACAAGAGUACAUGUGUGUGGUGAACUAUAG
rnacentral:rRNA from 1 species